rnacentral:lncRNA from 1 species
AUGAUGUACUGUAGCUGGCAUCGCUACAAGGCGAUAACCUGGAUGUCCACUUACCUGCCCACACACUCGUGCGCGCACACACACACACACACACACACACACACACACACACACACACACAACCACCACACAGAGUCCCCCAGGCUGCAUUUCAAACUAACCUGGCAUCCUUUCACAGGGCCCAGUGGAGCGUGCUGGUGUGACUCUACUCUCAGGCUCUACUGGCGGAGGAAAUUGCGGGAGAGAGAGAGAGAGAGAGAGAGCGAGAGGUGAUUUCAGUCUGAUAACACAUGAUUCGUGUUACUCAUAUCUACAUACUGACAUGAGGACAGACACAGGAAUAACCAUUUUCCCAGUGCAAAGGAUGCAUAUGCAUUUGGAUCGGAGGAUCGACAAACAUGUGUUGUCCAGUGCAUGCGUGUGUAUUUGCACAUCUUUUAUGACUUAAGACUGUGAAAUCACUGAAAACUAUUCUCAAGCAGAGAAGAUGUCAGGGCCACAUAAAAGAAAUAAUUCAUCUUUUUUUUGCCAAAGCACACUGUGGAAAGAAAGAAUUAGAAAGGGGCACUGCGUACCACACAGCGAGUGGACAUUCACAGUGAAAUGCUUUGGAUUCAGCUGACUAUAAUUAUUCUCCCGUGCCCUCUUGCUGUGCACGGCUAUCACAGAAGGGUCAGUGGCAGCUGUAAUUAUUAUACCUCAGCCCUUUGUUCUCAGUACCAUUUUAGAUCAUUAUUGUUACUUUCUGUGGAGGAAUUGUUCCUAUCUCCAUGGUUAUCUGCACAGUAAGGUCGCAUUACAUUACAUAUUAUGUUGUAUGUGAAAAGUGACACGUUAAAAAAACAAAGAUUUAAUGAGCGUGUGACUUUAUGUUAUGGAUUGUGUUAUUGCAACUGUGUUUUUGUUGAAUGGAAACUCAAGUAAGUUUAAUUUAUCUUUUUACAUGCCCAUAUACUGUACACACACACACACACACACACGCUUGAAAAAAUAUAUAUUCAAGAUGGUAUUAUAUAUAAAAAAAUAUGUUCAAUAUAAUAAAUAUUCAAGUAUUUCAGUACCGAGCCAGUGCUUGACUA